GUCUUUUUGAUUUUAAUUUAAAGUCAAAUCUGCCCACUGAUUUAUAUUAAAGGGCUGCAGUAUAUUGACUGUACAAAGGUAGCAUAAUAAAUAGUCUUUUAAUUGGAGACUUGUAUGAAAGAUUUGAUGAGAUAUAAACUGUCUCUUUUUUAUAUUUAGAAUUUAAUUUUUUAGUAAAAAAGCUAAAAUUAAUUUAAAAGACGAGAAGACCCUAUAGAGUUUUAUAAUUAGUUUAUUUAUAUAUUUAUAUUUAUAAUUUAAAAUUUGAUUAAUUUAAUUAUUUUGUUGGGGUGAUAGAAAAAUAUAUUAAACUUUUUUUAAAAAAUUACAUUAAUUAAUGAAUAAAUGAUCCAUAAAUUAUGAUUAAAAGAAAAAAUUACCUUAGGGAUAACAGCGUAAUUUUUUUUUUUAGUUCUUAUAGGAAAAAGAGUUUGCGACCUCGAUGUUGGAUUAAGAUAAAAUUUAAAUGUAGAAGUUUAAAAUUUUUGAUCUGUUCGAUCAUUAAAAUCUUACA
rnacentral:rRNA from 1 species